CAAGCUAUCGUUGACUAGAAAGUGCAAGAAUGGCAGCCAAAUUGUUUCCAUGUCUGAUCGGUUUGCUCUCCCUUCUGGUGUUAUUUCCAACCGAGUCUGAUGCCUUUGCAAACGGAGGAAAUAGUGGUAUACCUGGUAAAAGAGCCUUCGAGGAUUUGAGUGACUUUCAGGACGCUGAUGAAAAUAUCAUCAUGAAACGUCGGUUGUGUGACGUGGCUAAGCGCGUAGGAUGUUAAAAAGGGAUUCUAGAUGUUGAUGGAAAGAAGCAGUUUUUCUCAUAAAUAACGUAACAUCUCUCCUUUCAGGAGUAUGAAAAGGUCCAUAUGAGCGAAUAAAAAUUAAAACUCAA